rnacentral:rRNA from 1 species
CAUCCGGAACUGUUUGGCUAGAGUGCAGGAGAGGAAGGUAGAAUUCCCGGUGUAGCGGUGAAAUGCGUAGAGAUCGGGAGGAAUACCAGUGGCGAAGGCGGCCUUCUGGACUGACACUGACACUGAGGUGCGAAAGCGUGGGUAGCAAACAGGAUUAGAUACCCUGGUAGUCCACGCCGUAAACGAUGUCGACUAGCCGUUGGGCUCUUCGCGAGCUUAGUGGCGCAGUUAACGCGAUAAGUCGACCGCCUGGGGAGUACGGCCGCAAGGUUAAAACUCAAAUGAAUUGACGGGGGCCCGCACAAGCGGUGGAGCAUGUGGUUUAAUUCGAUGCAACGCGAAGAACCUUACCUACUCUUGACAUCCUGCGAAUUUGGUAGAGAUACCUUGGUGCCUUCGGGAACGCAGAGACAGGUGCUGCAUGGCUGUCGUCAGCUCGUGUUGUGAAAUGUUGGGUUAAGUCCCGUAACGAGCGCAACCCUUGUCCUUAUUUGCCAGCGCGUAAUGGCGGGAACUCUAAGGAGACUGCCGGUGACAAACCGGAGGAAGGUGGGGACGACGUCAAGUCAUCAUGGCCCUUACGAGUAGGGCUACACACGUGCUACAAUGGUCGGUACAAAGGGUUGCGAUCCUCGCGAGAGCAAGCCAAUCCCGAAAAGCCGAUCUCAGUCCGGAUCGGAGUCUGCAACUCGACUCCGUGAAGUCGGAAUCGCUAGUAAUCGUGGAUCAGAUUGCCACGGUGAUACGUUC